AGUGAACGCUGGCGGUAGGCCUAACACAUGCAAGUCGAACGGCAGCACAGUAAGAGCUUGCUCUUACGGGUGGCGAGUGGCGGACGGGUGAGGAAUACAUCGGAAUCUACUUUUUCGUGGGGGAUAACGUAGGGAAACUUACGCUAAUACCGCAUACGACCUACGGGUGAAAGCAGGGGAUCUUCGGACCUUGCGCGAUUGAAUGAGCCGAUGUCGGAUUAGCUAGUUGGCGGGGUAUAGGCCCACCAAGGCGACGAUCCGUAGCUGGUCUGAGAGGAUGAUCAGCCACACUGGAACUGAGACACGGUCCAGACUCCUACGGGAGGCAGCAGUGGGGAAUAUUGGACAAUGGGCGCAAGCCUGAUCCAGCCAUACCGCGUGGGUGAAGAAGGCCUUCGGGUUGUAAAGCCCUUUUGUUGGGAAAGAAAAGCAGCAGGUUAAUACCCCGCUGUUCUGACGGUACCCAAAGAAUAAGCACCGGCGAACUUC
rnacentral:rRNA from 1 species